UUCAGAAUGCCCCUUGAAGACCCAUUUCCAGGCAAUUGUUGACAAUGCAACACUGGACUGUGAGGGUGAAAGAAACAUCUUUCAUGCACCCAAAUUUAUUGCCGGUCUGGUAAAUCACCUUCUACCACAUGCAACUUUGUGGUCAUCAAUGAUGCUCGGGGAUCUUGGACGUCAUGGUACUGGUCCUGCUUACCAGCAGCUCAGUAAACUCUAUAGUGACAUUCAGCAAUCCAAGAACCAGAAUUUUACACAAGACAACAGAACCCAAGGAAUCAUGGAGAAAAGCCAGUGGGAUUUGAAAAAAAUCCGUAUCCAGAGAAGGAGACUGACAAGGCUUGAUGACUUUGUGGAAAUUUAUCAAAAAUGCAUGAUGCCCUCCUGCUUGAAUAUGCAGACAUGAAAAAAUCAAGACAAAAGUCUUUUCGCGUGGAAAUGGAGAAAUGGAAAGACAAACGCAUUAAACGGAAAGGUGUGUACGUGUCAC